GGUAAUACGUAGGUGGCAAGCGUUGUCCGGAAUUACUGGGUGUAAAGGGAGCGUAGGCGGGAUGCCAAGUCAGCUGUGAAAACUAUGGGCUUAACCUGUAGACUGCAGUUGAAACUGGUAUUCUUGAGUGAAGUAGAGGUUGGCGGAAUUCCGAGUGUAGCGGUGAAAUGCGUAGAUAUUCGGAGGAACACCGGUGGCGAAGGCGGCCAACUGGGCUUUAACUGACGCUGAGGCUCGAAAGUGUGGGGAGCAAACAGGAUUAGAUACCCUGGUAGUCCACGCCGUAAACGAUGAUUACUAGGUGUGGGGGGACUGACCCCUUCCGUGCCGCAGCAAACGCAAUAAGUAAUCCACCUGGGGAGUACGACCGCAAGGUUGAAACUCAAAGGAAUUGACGGGGACCCGCACAAGCAGUGGAUUAUGUGGUUUAAUUCGAAGCAACGCGAAGAACCUUACCAGCACUUGACAUCCGACUAACGAAGUAGAGAUACAUUAGGUGCCCUUCGGGGAAAGUCGAGACAGGUGGUGCAUGGUUGUCGUCAGCUCGUGUCGUGAGAUGUUGGGUUAAGUCCCGCAACGAGCGCAACCCCUGCCAUUAGUUGCUACGCAAGAGCACUCUAAUGGGACCGCUACCGACAAGGUGGAGGAAGGUGGGGACGACGUCAAAUCAUCAUGCCCCUUAUGUCCUGGGCUACACACGUAAUACAAUGGCCAUCAACAAAGAGAUGCAAUACCGCGAGGUGGAGCAAAACUUCAAAAAUGGUCUCAGUUCGGACUGCAGGCUGCAACCCGCCUGCACGAAGUUGGAAUUGCUAGUAAUCGUGGAUCAGCAUGCCACGGUGAAUACGUUCCCGGGUCUUGUACACACCGCCCGUCACACCAUGGGAGUUGGUAACACCCGAAGUCAGUAGUCUAACCGCAAGGAGGACGCUGCCGAAGGUGGGAUUGACGACUGGGGUGAAGUCGUAACAAGGUAGCCGUAUCAGAAGGUGCGGCUG
rnacentral:rRNA from 1 species